UACGAAGGGUGCUAGCGUUGUUCGGAAUUAUUGGGCGUAAAGCGUGCGUAGGCGGUUUGGUAAGUCGACUGUGAAAGCCCAGAGCUUAACUUUGGAAUUGCAUUCGAAACUACUAAGCUAGAGUAUGGCGGGGGAUAGUGGAAUUCUUAGUGUAGGGGUGAAAUCCGUAGAUAUUAAGAGGAACACCAGUGGCGAAAGCGGCUAUCUACACCAUUACUGACGCUGAGGCACGAAAGCUGGGGGAGCAAACAGG
rnacentral:rRNA from 1 species